CAGUGUUAUAGCUCUUUUAGAAUUUGUCUAGCAGGUUUUCCAGGUUGCAGGAAACUUCU
rnacentral:snRNA from 1 species